rnacentral:pre_miRNA from 1 species
AUUGGAAUUGCUGGGUUAUAUGGUAAGUGUAUGUUUAACUUUAUAAGAGAUUGCCAAACCAUUUUCCAAAAUGGUGGCACCAUUUUACAUUCCUACCAGCAGU